AAUUCCAUUAAUUUGCAUUCCAAUAAAGAUGGAGAAAGUGACUCGAUCGAAUCGAUCGUCGAACGAGACGAAUACUUUAUUUCUUUCCUAUUGAAGAUAAACUUGCUCACGAGUGUAACAAUCGAUUCUCCUGAUUUAUGGAAAGUAGAGCAUCGUGUAACACGUAACGCGAGAUGUAUCGGCCGGGUGAACGAUCGAUUUCACAAACGAUCGGCGGAAUUGUGUUACGCGCGAUCAGGUUCGUUGACUGCGUAAAAAAAAAAAAAAAAAAGGAAAGAAAAAAAAAGCAACACCUCGUGGUUUUGCAUACCGCGGCACGUUCACAGUAACACGAUCCUGAUUUAUCUCGCCUGUCGGGGAGACAUUUCGUUGCUCCCCCUCCUCCCCUCCUCCACCCUCGGAUUAAUAGUGCGUUUCGAAUAGUGCGUCUCGAGUAAUUUGCAUGCUCGAAGAAGCAUAGAGCACAGUGAAAGUUGGAACGUGGUUCGUGCUUCUCCUUCCCUCCAAAAACCUUGACCAACGGAUCCUUCUCGAACUUACAUAUUUAUCGGUCGGAUCGAAUCAAUUGAAAAAAGAAAAAAAAAAAGGAUGGAAGAAAGAAAGAAAAGGGAGCGAGCAAAUAGAUUGAAAUUGGAUCCCAAUGCGUGAAACAUGCGAGAAAUAUCGGCUGACAAAGCUAAACGAUAAAGCGCGCGAUUAAUCAAACCAUCGAUUGCCGGUUUGAGAAACGAGAAACGUUUGUCCCGAAACCAUUUCAAAACCGGUCACGUCGUGUCACCUUACGAAACCGCGAUCCUUCACUUUUGUCCUCUUGCACUCCACUUUUAUCCUUCACCUUUCAAAAUUCAGGAAAAAACUUCACAAACUCACAAACACCUCGAAAUUAUUUCAUCCAUCCUUCGAAACUUCCUUGGAAGCUCAAACCCGCCUUCAAACCAUGAUGAAACAAACAUAAGGGUCCCGAACGAAUAUCUUCCAAUUUUUGGAAGAUCGGCCGAGGAUCGAUGCACAGUCGUUGACUCACGGACAAGGUCUUUACAAGGCGAAUGAUAAGUCGGCCAAACGGGCUAGCAGCUGUUGGUCUGUCCCCGGGUGCAGGUGCACGUGGUUGCCAACCCUCGAUCGAAAAAACGGAGGCGGAUAUGCGAUUCCUUAGCCCGAUUCGGGGAGUGGAAAAACUGUGGCGCGCUUUCGCGUGUAUACACGCGCGGCAGUCACGUGUUCCGGUGUUCGAAGUCGCUGGUCGAAGAGAGCGGAGCUGCAGCUGCGACGGAGGCUGCAGGGAAACCGAAAGCCAUCUCGCUGCUCCAUUCAGGUACAACGGUACUCUGGCACCGAUUAACCGUCUUCCCCUUCUCCUUUCUCUUCCUCGUGCUCUUCCGUCUCUUUUUCCCGCCUCGACGACCUCUUUCUCCGCGCGCCUCGUCCUCUUUUGUAUUCCGCGCAGCGUUCGGCCGCGAAAAUGCCGGGUGAAACAGGAAAAAAUGGCUAAUCCUUUGUAAAUUUUAUUGGACGCACGGGAUCGGGUUUCGGAAUUAGGCGUCUGGUUGAAUGGGAGUGGAAGGUACGAGAUACCACAUGGCCUCUCGAUACCUACUUCGAGGCAUACAAGAUGACCACGAAGGAUGAUCAAGGCUUGUUCCCAUAUCCAGUAUACGAAACCUCAAAUUCUUUCAACAUUAUUGAAGAGAGAAGCAUGUACAUCGAUACCUAAUUAUAUAUCGUGAGAUAUCGAUAUCCCUAUACACUUUUUAUCAAUUUUAACCUUCCUUUUAAAUAUUUUCUUCUCAAAUUUUUUAAUAAAAAUCAA